UACAGAGGGGGCAAGCGUUGUUCGGAAUUACUGGGCGUAAAGGGCGCGUAGGCGGCCCGCUAAGUCGAACGUGAAAUCCCCGAGCUCAACUCGGGAACUGCGUCCGAUGCUGGCGGGCUUGAAUCCGGGAGAGGGAUGCGGAAUUCCAGGUGUAGCGGUGAAAUGCGUAGAUAUCUGGAGGAACACCGGUGGCGAAGGCGGCAUCCUGGACCGGCAUUGACGCUGAGGCGCGAAAGCUAGGGGAGCAAACGGG
rnacentral:rRNA from 1 species